CCUACGGGUGGCAGCAGUGGGGAAUAUUGGACAAUGGGCGAAAGCCUGAUCCAGCCAUGCCGCGUGUGUGAAGAAGGCCUUCGGGUUGUAAAGCACUUUCAGUGGGGAAGAAAGCCUUGGGGCUAAUACCCUCGAGGAAGGACAUCACCCACAGAAGAAGCACCGGCUAACUCCGUGCCAGCAGCCGCGGUAAUACGGAGGGUGCGAGCGUUAAUCGGAAUUACUGGGCGUAAAGCGCGCGUAGGCGGUCUGAUAAGCCGGUUGUGAAAGCCCCGGGCUCAACCUGGGAACGGCAUCCGGAACUGUCAGGCUAGAGUGCAGGAGAGGAAGGUAGAAUUCCCGGUGUAGCGGUGAAAUGCGUAGAGAUCGGGAGGAAUACCAGUGGCGAGGGCGGCCUUCUGGACUGACACUGACGCUGAGGUGCGAAAGCGUGGGUAGCAAACAGGAUUAGAUACCCCAGUAGUC
rnacentral:rRNA from 1 species